CUGCGCUCCUUUCUGUCGAAUUUGAGUAUGCGUUCUCCCCGGAGCCGUACUCCUUCAGCACACACAGUGGCACAGUGCCAAUCCAGGUUUUGGAUUCCAACGUUCGAUUUCAACAUCUCAUUUCCUCCAGGGGUCGAGGUUUCUAUGUCGCGUCAGGUGCCGGCACGAAGAGGGAAGACACAAUCCUUGACAUCACACAUGACGCUGUGGCUACUGCAGGAGGGAAAACGGGCAAAGUAUUUCACGGCUGCAGUGAUGGGUGUGAACAUCCGAACGACGAUGAGAGCGCCGUCAUUUUCAACCGUGACGUCAACGAGAACGAGGAGAAGAUGGACCUAGGGUGUGCCUGGUGGCACGGUAGCGGGGCAGGGACAGCUGCAUUACCUAUUCAUGUAGUUGGGCAAGAUUUCAGACGUGGAGCAGGCAUGCUUGUGCGUUUCGGUGGUACUCCAGAGAGCGCCGGCGCAUCCUCGAGACAGUUCUCAUCGGUUGCACUGUUCGAGUCGAGCGCACUGGAUCAUAUGCGUCGUGCUACCAUUAACAUACUGACACGCAUGGUUAUGGUACCAGCGCACUUUGUUUCGUCAGUAAUAGUCAAGGUUGAGCCUCCGCAGAGCAAACAGCUGAAGCCGGGGAGUGUGCCACUAGCUGUGACUGGGAACGGCGGCGCGAGUUUUUCGACACGCACCCUGCUAUAUUCGCAAGAAUUCCCUAAUUAAUAUACAUUCAUGUAUGCAAUGGUCACAUUCCCAUGUCUGCUUAUUAUUUGAUCGACGUUGGGACUUCCGAUAUCCAUGGACUUCACGUCACGGCCGUGGUACUAUCGGUAUAAGGAAUCAUUGGUUGAGAUUCGCACUUGGUCGGAACAUGUAAAACGUCAGAUAGCUGGAUAGAUGGCGCAAUGGGAGAUGAUUCAAAACGAAAGUUGGUGAAAGAGUUGAUUUGGCAGCAGUUUGCUCGCACGGCGACACCGCGUGCUUCCUAAUCUUGACUCUGACAUCUACAUACUGCAAUAUCCCGAAAAAUCGAGAAUCCGGUUAGGGGCACAGGUAGCUAGCUAGCUAGAUUAUCGUAUAGAAGCUGAUGACGCCAUAACAUGAUACCACUCUCUGUCAAGAUUCGGAAGCACGCGGUGUCGCCGUGCGCGCAAGCUGGUCCAUGUCCAACUCUUUCCAACCACCUCGUUUUUCGACAUCUCGGAAUCUUGACAAGCCUCAGGUAGGAUCAGACUGUUUGCCUGUGCUAGCCAAGUGCGAGAAUCGGGACAAAUACAACGCCCACAUACAGGUAGAUGGUUACAAAAUCCACCGUAAUAUCCCGAAAAUCGGGAAUCGUGUUAGAGCGCACAGGUGACUUGUCAGGUCCGGAUUGAAAAUGAAACGUCCCUGACUGUUUGCCACAUCCCUCGGCUACAAAUAGCCCGGCUAUAAUCGAAAGGCCCCAAUAAUAUACACUUGAUUUGAAACGGUGAAGAACGCAAAAAAAAUGAUUGAACCACUCGAUUCGGCCGUCGGCAGAUUUUCCCGAUUCAAAAAAUGUCUCCGCGCAGUUUUGGCAGGGGCACCUGAACAACAGACAAAGAUGC
rnacentral:lncRNA from 1 species